GGGGGUUUAGAUCAGCGGUAGAUCGUUGCUUUCGCAUGCUCAAGCUUGUGCUUCCUUCGCAUGAAGGUGCCUGCUGAGAGGCAAAGGUCGUGGGUUCAAUCCCCACAGUCUCCA
rnacentral:tRNA from 2 species